rnacentral:rRNA from 1 species
UACAGAGGCCUCAAGCGUUGUUCGGAAUCACUGGGCGUAAAGCGGGUGUAGGCGGUUAUGCAAGUCGGAUGUGAAAGCCCUGGGCUCAACCCAGGAAGUGCGUCCGAUACUGUGUGACUAGAGUACGAGAGAGGAAAGUGGAAUUCCUAGUGUAGGGGUGAAAUCCGUAGAUAUUAGGAGGAAUACCAAUGGCGAAAGCAGCUUUCUGGCUCGUAUCUGACGCUCAGACCCGAAAGCAUGGGUAGCAAACAGG